GAUGAACGCUGGCGGCGUGCCUAACACAUGCAAGUCGAACGGGGUUAAAGUGAAAUUUUCGGAUGGAUCUUUAACUUAGUGGCGGACGGGUGAGUAACGCGUGGAUAACCUGCCUCGCACAGGGGGAUAGCAGCUGGAAACGGCUGGUAAUACCGCAUAAGACCACGGUCCCGCAUGGGACAGGGGUAAAAGAUUUAUCGGUGCGAGAUGGAUCCGCGUCCGAUUAGCUAGUUGGUGAGAUAACAGCCCACCAAGGCGACGAUCGGUAGCCGACCUGAGAGGGUGAUCGGCCACAUUGGAACUGAGAUACGGUCCAGACUCC
rnacentral:rRNA from 1 species